GAGGGAAGGGUGGAGCAUGGUGCUUUUAAGUUAUUUUUCAUUUCGUAUCGUAAAUGUGAAACCCUUGGGAGCUGUGUUUGCUGACCAAUAGUUUCAUGUGCUCCUGAAUGCCAUUCAACAGAUACGUCAAGGGACAUGGGAAUUUCAACUAGAACAAUCAAACAUUAUCAACCGAUCUUGGUACUUUAAAAUGAAUGCAAAAAAGAAUAGAAGGAAAAAUGAUAGUAUAUGAUGAGAAAAUCUCCCUCAAUUCUCAGAUCAGUAGAAUCAUGAAAUGUUGGCAGUAGUAGAGAAUUUACUUUAUACCAGUAACUACACUAUUUGGGUUCAUCCACUGUUCCCAUUUCCCCCAUUUAUCUGGUUACUGCCCAGUACAGCUUUAAUGUAUGAUUAAGUAAAUUUAUUUUCAACAACAACCAUGAAAUUUAAGUGUAAUCCCACAGGGACCAAAACAGAAUGAAACAACACACUACACUCUUCAUGGGGAUUGGCUCAUACGAGUCACUAUUUGUCAUCAGUAUUUGAAAGCAGACUCUCUCAGACAAGGGCAGAUGAUGCUUACUGUACUAAGCAGUAAUCGUAUAUGGAACUUGUCUAUGGCAGGAGCUAGGCUGACAUCACUGUGUCCUCUACAGGAGUGAGGUGAGUGUGUGUGUAUUGGUGAGGAGGACAGAGGGUGUGGGUCGUGGUGGGCAGUGGGGAGUAACGGGCCUGAGCAGCAUUCUUAGAGUCGAUCAGUCUGUGUUGAGGAGCACUGGAAUGACUGGAGGUCUGUGAGGGGCCCUUUGGUGGGCAUUCUUAAAUACAAGGCUGAGAAAGUCACACUUGAUCAGAAAUGAGCACUGACAGCAGCUCUUAAAUGGUGGGAAUGACAUGGCAGAAAGAAGAGAGAGACAGGUAUUGGUGGCAGAAUUGAAUUUUCUUUCCUUCAUGGUUAAUUAAAGCACUUAGUGAGGUCUCCAGAGUCGAUCUCAUAAAGGAAUGCCUAAUUCACAGUGUAAUUCUGAGUGCUGUUUAACAGAUAAAUUGAUACCCUUGCUAAUUAGACCCUUUUUACCUGUCAGAGGGAGGCUAAGAAGUUGAACCAACUGUCUCAACUUGUCCUUUGAGGGCAUCCAGAACUAGAGCUCUAGGUGGAAGCCACCUUAUAGAUUGUUUAUUUGUGCCAUUUCAUUUUUGGAUGUGGCAACUGAGACCUAGAGAGAUCGAGAGAGCUGUUCAGGGCUCCAGCUUGCUACCGUACUCCCAUUCAGUUCUCCAGUGGAAGGGCACAGAUUCGGCCUGGGCCUCCUGUUUCUCUCCAGUUCUACUUCCUUUAUCACCUUGGGUGACUUCAGUAUCCAUGAGGAUGAUGUGUCCAAAACUUGUCAGUUCCUUUGCCCCACCAUCUUCUCCCAUGAUCUUGUCUCCUCACCGGCCUUAGAGUCCAUGGUCCAUCACUGAUAUAAAUUCAUCUGCCUAAACUCUCUUCUGUUGUCUUGUCACAAACUGACAAGUUAUGUGUGCUUUGUGACUUGCUAUCUCCCGCCUCUAGACUCCAAAAUCCUCGCGGGCAGGGCCUUUGUCUGCUUUGUUCCCUGCUGUAUCCCGAGUGCCUAGGACAUGGUUGGCACAUGAAAAAAGAGCCUCAUUCAAUGGAACAUUCCUUUUGUGUCUUCCUCUUGAGGAGCAGAUUACAGGGAAGCCUGAGAAUCUCUGUCCUUGCCCCUCAGAGUAUGCAGAGGAGAUGCAGGAAAAACAACGCAUCCUGAAGACCCACGUCUGAACAAGUAAAGAAGCUUUUAUGCAAGAUGAAUCCAAUCAAAGUUGUCCAGUGGACGUGAUGCUGUCUCUGGUAAGCCUGGGUGACUUCCCAGUCCUCACUAACU